GGAGGAAAGUAGGGGAUCGAAAGACCUUGCGCUUUUGGAGCGGCCGAUGUCUGAUUAGCUAGUUGGUGGGGUAAGGGCCUACCAAGGCGACGAUCAGUAGUUGGUCUGAGAGGACGACCAGCCACACUGGGACUGAGACACGGCCCAGACUCCUACGGGAGGCAGCAGUGGGGAAUUUUGGACAAUGGGCGCAAGCCUGAUCCAGCAAUGCCGCGUGAGUGAAGAAGGCCUUCGGGUUGUAAAGCUCUUUCAGUCGAGAAGAAAAGGCUGCAGUGAAUAACUGUAGUUUAUGACGGUAUCGACAGAAGAAGCACCGGCUAACUACGUGCCAGCAGCCGCGGUAAUACGUAGGGUGCGAGCGUUAAUCGGAAUUACUGGGCGUAAAGGGUGCGCAGGCGGUUUUGUAAGUCAGAUGUGAAAUCCCCGGGCUUAACCUGGGAAUUGCGUUUGAAACUACAAAGCUAG
rnacentral:rRNA from 1 species